CAAUAGCGUAUAUUUAAGUUGUUGCAGUUAAAAAGCUCGUAGUUGGAUUUCGGAUGGGGACGACCGGUCCGCCGUUUGGUGUGCACUGGUUGGUUUUAACUUCCUGUAGAGGACGUGCUCUGGGUUUAACGACCUGGACUCGGAGUCUACGUGGUUACUUUGAAAAAAUUAGAGUGUUCAAAGCGGGCUUACGCUUGAAUAUUUCAGCAUGGAAUAACACUAUAGGACUCCUGUCCUAUUUCGUUGGUCUCGGGACGGGAGUAAUGAUUAAGAGGAACAGUUGGGGGCAUUCGUAUUUCAUUGUCAGAGGUGAAAUUCUUGGAUUUAUGAAAGACGAACUUCUGCGAAAGCAUUUGCCAAGGAUGUUUUCAUUAA
rnacentral:rRNA from 1 species